AAAAUAUUAACAAUGUCAUUUUGAAAAAAAUUAUUUUAAUAUACAUUAUUUAUAUGAUCAAACAUGUGAUAUCUGUUCAAAUAUAUAUUAAAUUUUAUUUAUAUCUGUAGUAUUAUGUCAAUGUUUGAAAAUUAAAAUAGAUAUGUUAAACAUAAACAUUUGUGUAGUAUUAUCUCAAUUUACUAAACAAAUGAACAUAAACAUAAACAUUAACUCUCUCU
rnacentral:lncRNA from 1 species